UCUUUGGAUCUUAUUCUUGGA
ensembl:piRNA 21ur-4226 ncRNA